GCUGGGCAUAGUGGCGCAUGCCUGUAGUCCCAGCUGCUCAGGAGGCUGAGGCAGGAGAAUCGCUUGAACCCGGGAGGUGGAGGUUGCAGUGAGCCGAGAUCACGCCACUGCACUCCAGCCUGGGUGACAGAGCGAGACUCUGUCUCAA
rnacentral:SRP_RNA from 1 species